GGUGGCCCUGGCUGAAGGCUUCUUGCUGAACGUGGAUGUGGAAAAGAUGCAAGAAGAGUUCCAGAAAUCCUUGGAAGCUGCGACUGAGUAUCCCAAGGGGGGGAAAGAUUCAUUCAAAUCUUCUCAAGAGCUUCUAUUCAGGGAGAACUUCCAGAAAGGUCAAAGUCAGGACAUCACGCCAGAGAGUAGAAAGCUGUCCGUGGAAUUUGUAGACUCACCUCCUCUUUGUGGUGGAGCUGAAGGAUUGGCUGAAACUG